GCCGGUGUAGCUCAAUGGUUAGAGCGAUAGCAUCAUAAGCUAGAGGUUACAGGUUCGAGUCCCGUCACCGGCA
rnacentral:tRNA from 1 species